UCUCCGUAGGUGAACCUGCGGAGGGAUCAUUACUGAGUGAGGGCUCCGGCCCGACCUCCAACCCCAUGUGAACCGAAACCUGUUGCUUCGGGGGCGACCCUGCCUUUCGGCGCGGCGCCCCCGGAGGCUCAUCAAACACUGCAUCUGUGCGUCUGAGUAAAGAUUAAAUCAAUCAAAACUUUCAACAACGGAUCUCUUGGUUCUGGCAUCGAUGAAGAACGCAGC
rnacentral:misc_RNA from 1 species